CUCGUAGUUGGAUUUCUGGCAGGAGCGACCGGUCACACACUCUGUGUGUGAACUUGUGUUGUCUCUGGCCAUCCUUGGGGAGAUCCUGUUUGGCAUUAAGUUGUCGGGCAGGGGAUACCCAUCGUUUACUGUGAAAAAAUUAGAGUGUUUAAAGCAGGCUUAUGCCGUUGAAUAUAUUAGCAUGGAAUAAUAAGAUAGGACUUCGGAACUAUUUUGUUGGUUUGCGUUACGAAGUAAUGAUUAAUAGGGACAGUUGGGGGUAUUCGUAUUUCGUUGUCAGAGGUGAAAUUCUUGGAUUUCCGAAAGACGAACUACUGCGAAAGCAUUUACCAA
rnacentral:rRNA from 1 species